ACCGAAGCCCCCCUCAGCGUUUCCCGAAGGACCAAUCCCGAGCUAGGGGCCGGCCCAGGGACGGGUAAAGGAGGGCCGGCCGGGCGCCGGGACGCGGGCCUGGACCUGGCAGGCGGGUUUCUAUGGCAGCCAGGAGGGAGGGGCGGGAAAGAGGAGGGCGUGCGGCGCAGGGACACCCAUUGCAGACGCUCCGGGAGGGGAUUCGGGCCUGCUGUAGAGAGGAUUCCUCCUAGAGGGUGAAUGGGAAGGGGCAUAGCAGCCGGAGGGUUGACAAAGGUCGUAUCAAUUUAACGUGAGCGGAGCCGCGCGUCAGCUCCAGAGCGAGGCUUUUGGUGUCUUUGGAAGACCGCAACACGGUAAUCCUCCCAACCGAUCGGGAGUUUCUGGCAAAGUAUUGUGACAGCUUCUACGGGAACCUUUUAGGAACUAAUAUUUCCUGUGAUGAAGAAACAUUUAUCUGAAAUUUAUUCUGCUUUCUUUCUUCUUUCUGUUAAAUUCUAGCAAAAUUAAACAGAAAGAAUUAAAACUA